UUCCUUUGGAUCUCUCUAAGGUCCUGUAGAUUUGCCUUGUGGGCAACCAAGACUGGGCAGUUGGGACUUGGAGGAUCAAGGAAAGAACCAGAUGUGGGGGUCACCAGGAGUCAGAACUGAAGCUGAAGUCAAAGCUGAGAAGAUUAACCAGGAUCAGAAACUAAGUGAGAUACAGAGCUGAAGCCAGGAGUCAGAUCCAAGCAUCUGGGGUCAAAGCACCAGAUAUUGUAGACAAUAAUGAACCAGGAAUCAAGGAUACCUUGUUGCUGAGGAUUCAAAAUGGCUGCUGCAGUAACCGGCUUCCACCAUAGAGGCAAGGCAUUUUUGACAUAGCCAAACCAUAUAUAAGACUCAUGUUAUAAGGAUGAAGACCACAGAAUUCUGAGGCUCUCCCAUCACGAGCUGGCAGACACAGAUGUGGAGAAACCUGAGCCCUUCAAGAAGGUCAGUCAGGUCAAGCAAUAUCAAAUUUUCAUCACCUGAUUUCUGUAUAUAGCAAAGAAAACCCCCAUCCAUCCAACAACAUCAACUGACUCUUCAGUUUAACAAACCUGUGAUAAUGUUGGAAGAAGAAAGGGGAUUGGGGCCAACGAAGAAUUACUCCAUAUACAUUUAGAUUUAACCCAAGUUCAAUUUUACAUUGCAUAUACAGGGCAUGUUACAAGCUUCAGCAAUAAAUGGUGUAAAAAAACAA